AGACCGGCGCACGGGUGCGUAACGCGUAUGCAAUCUACCUUUUACAGAGGGAUAGCCCAGAGAAAUUUGGAUUAAUACCUCAUAGUAUGUGAGAAUGGCAUCAUUUUCACAUUAAAGUCACAACGGUAAAAGAUGAGCAUGCGUCCCAUUAGCUAGUUGGUAAGGUAACGGCUUACCAAGGCUACGAUGGGUAGGGGUCCUGAGAGGGAGAUCCCCCACACUGGUACUGAGACACGGACCAGACUCCUACGGGAGGCAGCAGUGAGGAAUAUUGGUCAAUGGACGCAAGUCUGAACCAGCCAUGCCGCGUGCAGGAUGACGGUCCUAUGGAUUGUAAACUGCUUUUGUACAGGAAGAAACAACAUUACGUGUAAUGUCUUGACGGUACUGUAAGAAUAAGGAUCGGCUAACUCCGUGCCAGCAGCCGCGGUAAUACGGAGGAUCCAAGCGUUAUCCGGAAUCAUUGGGUUUAAAGGGUCCGUAGGCGGUUUAGUAAGUCAGUGGUGAAAGCCCAUCGCUCAACGGUGGAACGGCCAUUGAUACUGCUAGACUUGAAUUAUUAGGAAGUAACUAGAAUAUGUAGUGUAGCGGUGAAAUGCUUAGAGAUUACAUGGAAUACCAAUUGCGAAGGCAGGUUACUACUAAUGGAUUGACGCUGAUGGACGAAAGCGUGGGUAGCGAACAGGAUUAGAUACCCUGGUAGUCCACGCCGUAAACGAUGGAUACUAGCU
rnacentral:rRNA from 1 species